GCGGAGGGCUGGAUGACCGCGGGCCGAUCGGUUCGAGGAAAGUCCGGACUCCAUGAAGGAAGGGUGCCGGGUAACGCCCGGCGGGGGCAACCCCAGGGAAAGCGCCACAGAGAAGAGACCGCCCCGCACGCGGGGUAAGGGUGAAACGGUGGGGUAAGAGCCCACCGCGGCCCUGGCAACAGGGACGGCACGGCAAGCCCCACCCGGAGCAAUGCCGAAUAGGGGCCUCGCGUGGAAAGGUCCGCGACCGCCGCAAGGCGACGGCGGAGACCUCCACAGGGACACUUCAGCCCAGAGGUCCGGGUUGGCAGCUUGACCGCCCCGGCAACGGGUGCGGCAGAGGAAUGGUCAUCCAGAGGGCAAUGGCGCAAGCCGGGGCCCUUGGACAGAAUCCGGCUUACAGGCCCUCCGCGCGA
rnacentral:RNase_P_RNA from 1 species